rnacentral:lncRNA from 1 species
UUAAAUCAGAAAAUAGGAAAAUAAAAAAAAAACAGGAGCGUCUGAUCAAGCCUCAUUAAUUGACGUGGUUGAUCAGACGCUCCACAUGCGUGCUUCCAUGGUACGUCCAAGUCAAUGCGUCACACAAACAUUAAAACAAAGUCAUAACAUUGGACAGUGGAGAUUAAAUCUGGAAAUCCGAUCCAAGGGCUCAUGAUGUAUCUG